rnacentral:lncRNA from 1 species
UAGUAGUAGCCUGACCGCAAGAACAAUGAGUUAGUAUUGGCCUGACAACAAGAACAACGAGGAGGCCAGCAUCUCAUGGUCGUCAGCUGCUAUUUGUAUUCUUUAGAUGUCAGAUCUAAUAACUCACUCAGCAGUUGACUCGGUGAUUUCCCUGGCAGCCUCCUCCACUGGGCCAAACUACAACACCUCUGCCAUAGACCUCUAGCCGUAAGCCAAGAAGAGGUCAUCAACUUGGCCGAAACUUGAGAACGCACUGCCGGACUCAACGAGGUUGUCGAGGAUCCACAUCAUCGAGAAUGCGACGAACGCAUCCGUGCACCCUGCUCAACGGCAAACUGCGCCAGUACCUACACGAAAAGAAAUAGGAAGGAAUGAAUCAGCCAUAAUGGUUUGGGAAUCAAUUUGGUGAUGGCAAGCGGCCUCCAUUUCUUUUUUUCCCAUUAAGGACGAAGGAAAGAAGGAACUAUGUUUUUCCCCUCUGCUAGAAACUAAGGAGAGGCGUACAUUCAGCAAAAAAAUGGGUAAAUGAAAUUACGAUGAACAUUAUGCAAAGCAAGAGGCGAAUGGGAGAGCACAAAGCGAUUCAUACCUGUCAGCAUGUCCGCACCCUAAGAUGACAGGAACGACACACAGAAGAUGGGCCCUGAACCCAACGACACAGCCAUAUGUCUCAGCGGCAAUGAACUACAUAGGCAAAAGUGAGAUGCCGCAUCGCUGGUGGGAGACGCCAGAUCCGCAGCGCAUGUCCUGGCCUCGGCAAAAAAUGGCCACAAAGAUCACCUCCUCCAAGAUUUGGCCAUGGAUGGGCAAGCAAAUCAAACUGCUACAAUAGCUACACUUGCGAAUUGGUAGAGCAUCUCCCCAUGGA